rnacentral:rRNA from 1 species
UGCAGUCGAGCGGUACAGAUCUAGCUUGCUAGAUGCUGACGAGCGGCGGACGGGUGAGUAAUGCAUAGGAAUCUGCCCGGUAGUGGGGGAUAACCUGGGGAAACCCAGGCUAAUACCGCAUACGUCCUACGGGAGAAAGGGGGCUUCGGCUCCCGCUAUUGGAUGAGCCUAUGUCGGAUUAGCUAGUUGGUGAGGUAAAGGCUCACCAAGGCAACGAUCCGUAGCUGGUCUGAGAGGAUGAUCAGCCACAUCGGGACUGAGACACGGCCCGAACUCCUACGGGAGGCAGCAGUGGGGAAUAUUGGACAAUGGGGGCAACCCUGAUCCAGCCAUGCCGCGUGUGUGAAGAAGGCCCUCGGGUUGUAAAGCACUUUCAGCGAGGAAGAACGCCUAGUGGUUAAUACCCAUUAGGAAAGACAUCACUCGCAGAAGAAGCACCGGCUAACUCCGUGCCAGCAGCCGCGGUAAUACGGAGGGUGCAAGCGUUAAUCGGAAUUACUGGGCGUAAAGCGCGCGUAGGUGGCUUGAUAAGCCGGUUGUGAAAGCCCCGGGCUCAACCUGGGAACGGCAUCCGGAACUGUCAGGCUAGAGUGCAGGAGAGGAAGGUAGAAUUCCCGGUGUAGCGGUGAAAUGCGUAGAGAUCGAGAGGAAUACCAGUGGCGAAUGCGGCCUUCUGGACUGACACUGACACUGAGGUGCGAAAGCGUGGGUAGCGAACAGGAUUAGAUACCCUGGUAGUCCACGCCGUAAACGAUGUCGACCAGCCGUUGGGUGCCUAGCGCACUUUGUGGCGAAGUUAACGCGAUAAGUCGACCGCCUGGGGAGUACUGCCGCAAGGUAA